GGGGCUGAAUUUUGGGCGCGGGUGUGCCCGUGGCCUAUUUUUGGCACACGGAGGCCGCCCGCAAAGUCUGGGGCCAUUCCGAGUCCGGCGGACGAACUUCGCCCACGCCCCCCACCAAGGCUAUAGCCCACCCGUUUUUUGGCCAUUUUUCCGCUGGGGGGUCUUGGCGCCCCGACCUUCGGGGACUGAUUUUUGGGCGCGGGUGUGCCCGUGGCCUAUUUUUGGCACACGGAGGCCGCCCGCAAAGUCUGGGGCCAUUCCGAGUCCGGCGGACGAGCUUCGCCCACGCCCCCCACCAAGGCUAUAGCCCACCCGUUUUUUGGCCAUUUUUCCGCUGGGGGGUCUUGGCGCCCCGACCUUCGGGGGCUGAUUUUUGGGCGCGGGUGUGCCCGUGGCCUAUUUUUUGCACACGGAGGCCGCCCGCAAAGUCUGGGGCCAUUCCGAGUCCGGCGGACGAACUUCACCCACGCCCCCCACCAAGGCUAUAGCCCACCCGUUUUUUGGCCAUUUUUCCGCUGGGGGGUCUUGGCUCCCCGACCUUCGGGGGCUGAUUUUUGGGCGCGGGUGUGCCCGUGGCCUAUUUUUGGCACACGGAGGCCGCCCGCAAAGUCUGGGGCCAUUCCGAGUCCGGCGGACGAACUUCGCCCACGCCCCCCACCAAGGCUAUAGCCCACCCGUUUUUUGGCCAUUUUUCCGCUGGGGGGUCUUGGCGCCCCGACCAUCGGGGGCUGAAUUUUGGGCGCGGGUGUGCCCGUGGCCUAUUUU
rnacentral:lncRNA from 1 species